AAACACAUUUUUAAGACAAAAAAAAGUUUAAAUAGUUUAGGGUUUUUGCACUAGACGACUACGUUACCUUAUUUAAUUAGGUGAAUGGCUAUGGUACUGUAUAUUUUUCAUAAAUACACUUUUACCCUUAUUAUAUCUACUAGUCAGACGCAGAGAUAGACUUGACACCGCUCCUUUAUUUAUCUUGCUUCUGAAUUAAUAUUAAAUUUAAACCACUAUUUGCCUUUAGAUUCUUCAAUAAUUCCCCGUUCGAUACCAAAUCUCCAACACCACAAUCCUUCUCUCUGUUCCAUCACCUCCCACAAAAAUCCUGAUUUGAAAAUCCUAGAUAAUAAUCAUGGCUAUGGACAAGGACAACAACUAUGCUAGCAACGUCGCUGUCACCGCCAAUCAAGAUUAACGAAGCGGUUGCCGAAGGAUCUCUAAACCGGUGUCGUCUCAGAAUCCGUAAGUGGAAGCGAGAAAGGAGAGGAAGGUGCGGAGACGGCAGUGGCGGUGGAUGAUGAGAGCGGAUCAAAUUUGGUUAUAAAGCUAUCUACCCGAUCUUCCUCUGCUCGAGCUCCCUUCAACAAUCUGAGUCUAAUCAAUUCUGAUCUUGUUGUCGCUCGCACGCUCCAAGAACAUGCAUGCCUCUUUCUUUUUCGACAUCUCUUUGUUUCAGAUUUUUUCUGAGUUUCUACGUUUGUAUCCAACUGAAUCGCUGAUUCGGCGCCGACGGCUCUAGCAAGUAGCAGACAUCAAUCAUCAGCUACAAGAAACACUUCUCUUGGAUUUUCCCCAACCCCUUUCUUCAGGUGGAUUUGGUCGCAACAAUUUAUAUUGAAGAUAAAGAGUGAGCUUUUUCCUAUCUCCCUCUCUUAAUUUUUUUCUGUUAUGUAGCAUUUGGUUGAAUAUAAAUUGUGUUGCCACUAAUGACGUUAAUGUUCAUAGCAUUCACAUCACCAUGUUUGACGUUAAAGUGCUGUUGAGGACAGAAAUGUAAAAGUCAUGCCUUUCAUCACCAUGUUUGCCAAUUAAUAAAAAUAAUGCACACUUCUG